rnacentral:rRNA from 1 species
CCUACGGGAGGCAGCAGUAGGGAAUAUUGCUCAAUGGGGGAAACCCUGAAGCAGCAACGCCGCGUGGAGGAUGAAGGUUUUCGGAUUGUAAACUCCUUUUGUUAGAGAAGAUAAUGACGGUAUCUAACGAAUAAGCACCGGCUAACUCCGUGCCAGCCGCCGCGGUAAUACGGAGGGUGCAAGCGUUACGCGGAAUCACUGGGCGUAAAGAGCGCGUAGGCGGGUUAGCAAGUCAGAUGUGAAAUACUAUGGCUUAACCAUAGAACUGCAUGUGAAACUGUUAUUCUAGAGUAUGGUAGAGGUAGGUAGAAUUCGUGGUGUAGGGGUAAAAUGCGUAGAGAGCAAGAGGAAUACUGAUAGCGAAGGCGACCUGCUAGAACGUAACUGACGCUGAGGCGCGAAAGCGUGGGGAGCAAACAGGAUUAGAUACCCUAGUAGUC